AGAAGACAGUUGAGAUGUUGGUGAAAUUCAAGCUCUUUGUGAGUUGACUGAGAAGAUUGCUGAAGGAUCUUACAUGGAAGCUGGCUGAUUAUAUUGAGUGAUUCCUUUGGUGUGGUGUACCUCAGAGAAAUAAACACUGUGGCAAGAGCUGAGAAGAUGACCAAGAUAUCCUUAUGGCUGGAUGGUAGCUCUCUGGUCGUUCUUGAGCCCCCUUGAUGGACCAUGUCUGCAAAUGCUUUGACGGAAUUUCUAAAGGCCAUUGACACCAGAGCUGGAAUUAUCCUCCUGCCAAGACUAUUCCAGGAGAAGGCCGAGAACCUGAUUUUAUGGGAGAGGGCAAGCCAAACACCCCUUACCCAACUAUCAGCAUGAAGGCACAGGACUGGAGAGCUACGAUUGCCGGGAAUGCUGAAAGUAUCGUUGUAGUUGACAGGCUUCGAGUGUGUUCCCUGAUUGGUGUUGAAGAGGCAUUCAUCACGACAUUCUGUAUGUAUUUUGUUUACAACAUGGACCAACAGAACCUUUACACAAAUUGAUUAAGCACAUUGGACUUUUACAUGCCCAUGAACCUGAUUUCAGCAUCACAUGUGGACUGAAACUGUGAAUCGUCUUUUUCA